rnacentral:rRNA from 1 species
GAGUUUGAUCCUGGCUCAGGACGAACGCUGGCGGCGCGCCUAACACAUGCAAGUCGAACGGAGCUUAAAGAGCUUGCUUUUUAAGCUUAGUGGCGAACGGGUGAGUAACGCGUGAGGAACCUGCCUCAAAGAGGGGGACAACAGUUGGAAACGACUGCUAAUACCGCAUAAGCCCACGGUGCCGCAUGGCACAGAGGGAAAAGGAGCAAUCCGCUUUGAGAUGGCCUCGCGUCCGAUUAGCUGGUUGGUGAGGUAAUGGCCCACCAAGGCGACGAUCGGUAGCCGGACUGAGAGGUUGAACGGCCACAUUGGGACUGAGACACGGCCCAGACUCCUACGGGAGGCAGCAGUGGGGAAUAUUGCACAAUGGGGGAAACCCUGAUGCAGCGACGCCGCGUGGAGGAAGAAGGUCUUCGGAUUGUAAACUCCUGUUGUUGAGGAAGAUAAUGACGGUACUCAACAAGGAAGUGACGGCUAACUACGUGCCAGCAGCCGCGGUAAUUC